GGAAAAAUGAGGAAACAGCCGUCGUGUGCUUACUUUCGGUUUCUCCCGCCAGCUAACAACAAAGAAGAAGAUCAAGUAUGGAAGGGAGUCAAUGAUCGUCCUUACGAUCAUUUCAUUUCGAAUAAUAAAAUCAAAAUUUUCAGAGGUUGAACAGUCGACUCAAAAUAGUACGUACGUAGUUCAGAUAAAUUCUAUAUCCUUUUACCCAAAAAAACAUUGAAAGUAUAAACCCGCUAAUAAAAUAAAAGUUUAAUGUGAAAACACGAGAAUGCAGCGAUCAAACACAAAGCUAGUCUUGAGCUGUCUUUGAGUCGAAUAUAAUGCGCGUGUGAAACACAAACUUAGGUUUAGAUGAAAGAGUCAUAAUUAAUAUUA
rnacentral:lncRNA from 1 species